rnacentral:rRNA from 1 species
AGAGGGUGCAAACGUUGUUCGGAAUCACUGGGCAUAAAGCGCACGUAGGCGGCUUGGUAAGUGCGAAGUGAAAGCCCACGGCUCACCCGUGGAAUUGCUUUGCAUACUGCCUGGCUCGAGGACGGUAGGGGAGAGCAGAACUCCUGGAGGAGCGGUGAAAUGCGUAGAUAUCAGGAGGAAUACCAGUGGCGAAGGCGGCUCUCUGGUCCGUUUCUGACGCUGAGGUGCGAAAGCUAGGGUAGCGAACGGGAUUAGAUACCCCGGUAGUCCUAGCCGUAAACGAUGGGCACUAACUAGAGGUCUCCUGUUUGAUCUCUGGUGAAGCAAAUGUGUUAAGUGCCCCCCGCCUGGGGAGUAUGGUCGCAAGGCUA